GAUGAACGCUAGCGGCAGGCCUAAUACAUGCAAGUCGAACGGUGUCUUCGGACAUAGUGGCGCACGGGUGCGUAACACGUAUGCAACCUACCUUACAUUGGGGGAUAGCCUUUCGAAAGGGAGAUUAAUACCGCAUAAGACAGUAGCUGGGCAUCCAGCAGCUGUUAAAGAUUUAUCGAUGUAAGCUGGGCAUGCGUCCAAUUAGCUAGUUGGUGAGGUAACGGCUCACCAAGGCAAUGAUUGGUAGGGGAACUGAGAGGUCAAUCCCCCACACUGGCACUGAGAUACGGGCCAGACUCCUAUGGGAGGCAGCAGUAGGGAAUAUUGGGCAAUGGACGCAAGUCUGACCCAGCCAUGCCGCGUGCAGGAUGAAGGCGUUAUGCGUUGUAAACUGCUUUUAUACAGGAAGAAACGACUCUUGCGAGAGGCAUUGACGGUACUGUAUGAAUAAGCACCGGCUAACUCCGUGCCAGCAGCCGCCGUAAUAC
rnacentral:rRNA from 1 species